CUGAGAAGACCCACUCUUCUGCUGCACAGGCACUCACAUGGCAAAUCUGGUAGACUCUCUAAAACACUUUUCAAAGAUAUUCUCCACAGUUCAGCC
ensembl:misc_RNA